UCUUUAAUGCCGUUUUUUAGGCGAGCCCCAAAAAGGGUUAGGCUGGACUGCCGAGCCAAGGAGAGAGCGAGGGGAUGGACCAAGGGAGGCAGAGGAAGGCUAAGGCGGGGGAGGGGGCGGCGAUGCGAAGGGCUGAGGCCUGAGGGGAAGCGUGGGGCGGCGGCGCGAAGGGCUGAGGCCGAGGGGAAGCGUGGAGCGGCGGCGAGACCCGGUGGCCGAAGCGUGAGGAGGGGCUGUGGGGAGGCGAGGGAGGGUGUGGGGUCAGUGGACGGGUAGUUGUUCCAGUGGCAGAGGGAGGACGGAGGUGAGGUCAGUGGACGGUUGGUUGUUCCAGUGGCAGAAGGAAGACGUUAGUUGCAUCGGCCGACGGGUGUUCCCGGGUCGACUCAAAAGCUGUACAGACCUGCACUCCAGGCACUCAUAUGGUUAGAGUCGCUAGGAUUUCUAUUCUUCGACCCCUUCCCCUUCCUGUUCUAGCUACUACUCCUGCAGUGCAAGGUCGCGUACCAACGUUUCUACGUCCUACAACGACCACUCUCCCCUCCGAUGGAAGUACCUGCUCCUCGUAACCUGUCACUACUAAACGAAAUGGAGUUUCUCGUUUACCUCCGGCUCCUUCUACGUCUCGCAGAAGAAGCGGCAUGUCUCUUCGCCCGUAAGCGACGAAAAUUCUAUAGGAGAGAAGUUACUUUGUAGCAUCGAACGUUAAAAUAUUGUAUUUGUUAUAAAACAGUUAUGCUAGGUUCGUCAGGAGAUCGAGGACCAUACGGUUACGCUAUCACGUGUAUAAAUGGUAAGCUAAAUAAAAAGUAGUACACCUUAUCGUGUCAUCUCUGAACGGAAGGUCCCCACCAAAGAGUAAAUUGAACAGAACAUUGAAAGGUGUAGAAAUAAUACACUAAACAAAGGUAAUCAACCUUUAUCGUCUUGUCUCCUUGUACGGAUCGGUUCCCACCAAAGAGUAAAUCUAAGCACAUAUGAUAUCAUACAAACUAAAGAAAUUGGGAGCGGAGUGUUUCGUCGGUGAGAUCGACUAAGACGUGGACGAGAUGGACGGCGAGAAACACAGCUGCGGUCCGGUUUUUCGCUGUAUUCCGUUGCCCUAGAAAACUUCUUGUAACAACCCUAGUUUGGCUUCGCUGGGUUCCAAACGUCGGGAGCGGUUCGCCGUCUCUUGCUGCCCGGAUUCGCCUUGGUCCUUCAAAGACAGUCGUUUUACAGAAGUACAGUCUUACUUGGUUUCGGUCGACUUCGUUGCCUCAGAUCCGGUGUCUUGCACUGACCUUCGAACGAACCAAACCGCAUGCUCUCAAGCCUACUUCUUACUGGUCACCACAUCCCUCAGUGUCAUCCCGACAUCCGACGCACAAUCAAGUAGACGUUGCAACGAUCUAACACAAAGACGCGCCCCCAAGUCCUAUUAAGUUCUUGAGAAAGACGACUUUUAGUUCGAACUCAAUAACUUACGAAAGAGGCCUUACAAUACAAGACCUGUGUCUGCGUAGGCAAGCAGCGCCGAAAUCAAAGACCUUGGUCAUAUAACACGUUAUGACACUCACUAAGACACAUGUCUUAGACAUUUCCGGUAUAGUCGGCGGAGCUGUCGGCAGUCUACGUACAGUAGUGUCGGCAACGAGUCUACGUUAAACUGCUAGUACAGUAACAUAUCGGGCC
rnacentral:rRNA from 1 species